CGUAUAUUAAAGUUGUUGCAGUUAAAAAGCUCGUAGUUGGAUUUGUGGCGUAUGGUGUGUUCCGGGCACUUGUUGUCUGAGUAACCUGCUGUUGCCAUCCUUGGGUGGAACCUGUGUGGCAUUAGGUUGUCGUGCAGGGGAUGCCCAUCAUUCACUGUGAAAAAAUUAGAGUGUUCAAAGCAGGCUUAUGCCGUUGAAUAUAUUAGCAUGGAAUAAUGAGAUAGGACUUUUUUACUAUUUUGUUGGUUUGCGUAAAGAGGUAAUGAUUAAUAGGGACAGUUGGGGG
rnacentral:rRNA from 1 species